AUUGAACGCUGGCGGAAUGCUUUACACAUGCAAGUCGAACGGCAGCACGGGUGCUUGCACCUGGUGGCGAGUGGCGAACGGGUGAGUAAUACAUCGGAACGUACCCAGUCGUGGGGGAUAACGUAGCGAAAGUUACGCUAAUACCGCAUACGUCCUGAGGGAGAAAGCGGGGGACCGUAAGGCCUCGCGCGAUUGGAGCGGCCGAUGUCUGAUUAGCUAGUUGGUGAGGUAAAGGCUCACCAAGGCGACGAUCAGUAGCUGGUCUGAGAGGAUGAUCAGCCACACUGGAACUGAGACCCGGUCCAGACUCCUACGGGAGGCAGCAGUGGGGAAUUUUGGACAAUGGGCGAAAGCCUGAUCCAGCCAUUCCGCGUGAGUGAAGAAGGCCUUCGGGUUGUAAAGCUCUUUCGGCAGGAACGAAACGCUCUAGAUUAAUACCCUGGGGUAAUGACGGUACCUGAGGAAGAAGCACCGGCUAACUACGUGCCAGCCGCCGCCGUAA
rnacentral:rRNA from 1 species